GUGGGGCGCGUCUAGGGUUCCGCCGGCGGCAUUCGUCGAACAGGCCGGGUCUGGUCCGAGAGACGCAGGCGGCCGGCACCGACGCAGACCGUUCCACGGCGGGAGAAAAGCCCGGGAGAC
rnacentral:sRNA from 23 species